ACGGAAGGCAGCAGUGGGGAAUAUUGCACAAUGGGCGCAAGCCUGAUGCAGCAACGCCACGUGUGGGAAGAAGCAUUUCGGUGUGUAAACCACUGUCGUGAGGGAAUAAUGCUUAAUUUCGGUUAAGUUGAAUGUACCUCGAAAGGAAGCACCGGCAAACUUCGUGCCAGCAGCCGCGGUAAUACGAGGGGUGCAAGCGUUGUUCGGAAUCACUGGGCGUAAAGGGAGCGCAGGCGGAGAUGCAAGCAGUCUGUACAAUACCGGGGCCCAACCCCGGACCUGCAGACUGGACUGUUUCUCUUGGAUAGUUCAGGGGCAAGCGGAAUUCCUGGUGUAGCGGUGGAAUGCGUAGAGAUCAGGAAGAACACCGAUGGCGAAGGCAGCUUGCUGGGGACUUAUCGACGCUCAUGCUCGAAAGUGCGGGUAUCAAACAGGAUUAGAUACCCUGGUA
rnacentral:rRNA from 1 species